CCUGUCUUUGUGGCUCCGGAAAGGCGUUUGGGAUGCCCACGAUGAGGCUGCUGUCAUUUGUGGUGUUGGCUCUAUUUGCUGUCACUCAAGCAGAAGAAGGAGCCAGGCUUUUGGCUUCCAAAUCACUGCUGAACAGAUAUGCCGUGGAGGGACGAGACCUGACCUUGCAGUACAACAUCUACAAUGUCGGCUCAAGUGCUGCAUUAGACGUGGAACUAUCUGAUGAUUCCUUCCCUCCAGAAGACUUUGGCAUUGUGUCUGGAAUGCUCAAUGUCAAAUGGGACCGGAUUGCCCCUGCUAGCAAUGUCUCCCACACCGUGGUCCUGCGCCCCCUCAAGGCUGGUUAUUUCAACUUCACCUCAGCAACAAUUACUUACCUGGCCCAGGAGGAUGGGCCCGUUGUGAUUGGCUCUACCAGUGCACCUGGACAGGGAGGAAUCCUGGCUCAGCGAGAGUUUGACAGGCGAUUCUCCCCUCAUUUUGUAAGCUUUCUAGUGUUCUCUCUCAUCAGUCCCUUGGUAUGAGAAUGCCCUUUUGGUUCUGGACCUUCUUGGCUUCCAUAGAUUUGUUUUGUUAGUCGGUUCUUGCCCUGUCUGUUUUUUGGUGUCUGAUAUAGAUACUCAUCAGAUAGAUUGAUUUAGCCACGUCCAGAGAUUUUUGGCAAUGAGAUCACAAUUGCCAAAACCAUAAAACUGACUUAAGUAGAGUCCC
rnacentral:sRNA from 1 species